rnacentral:rRNA from 1 species
AUACGGAGGGGGCUAGCGUUGUUCGGAAUUACAGGGCGUAAAGCGCGCGUAGGCGGAUUGAUCAGUCAGGGGUGAAAUCCCGGAGCUUAACUCCGGAACUGCCUUUGAUACUGUCAAUCUUGAGUUCGAGAGAGGUGAGUGGAAUUCCUAGUGUAGAGGUGAAAUUCGUAGAUAUUAGGAAGAACACCAGUGGCGAAGGCGGCUCACUGGCUCGAUACUGACGCUGAGGUGCGAAAGCGUGGGGAGCAAACAGGAUUAGAUACCCUAGUAGUCC